rnacentral:rRNA from 1 species
GCGCACCAGGCGCGAAUUUUUCUCAAUGGGCGAAAGCCUGAAGGAGCGACGCCGCGUGGGGGAUGAAGGGUUUCGAUCCGUAAACCCCUGUCAUUUGCGAACAAACCUUAGCAAUUUAAAAGAUGUUGAGCUGAUUGUAGUGAAAGAGGAAGGGACGGCUAACUCUGUGCCCAGCAAGCCGCGGUAAUACAGAGGUCCCAAAGCGUUGUUCGGAUUCACUGGGCGUAAAGGGUGCGUAGGUGGCUUGGUAAGUUUGAUGUGAAAUCUCCGGGCUUAACCCGGAAAUGGCAUUGAAUACUAUUGAGCUGGAGGUUUGGAGGGGGACUGGAAUUCUCGGUGUAGCAGUGAAAUGCGUAGAUAUCGAGAGGAACACCAGUGGCGAAGGCGAGUCCCUGGACAACACCUGACACUGAGGCACGAAAGCUAGGGGAGCAAACAGGAUUAGAUACCCGGGUAGU